CCUAACGGAAAGGGAAUGUACCAAAAGCCGGAUCUGACCGGAAGUGAUUGAGUGAGCGGUUUGUUUGGAAAAUCCUGAACGGAGCGAGUAGUGUUGUGAAGUUUAUAUGGAGUUGUAUGAUGUUUUGCCUGUUUUGUGGAAACCAUUUCAGCCUGUUACCGCGGUUUUGCAUUUCGUGUGGACGGUCUCUGGAGUUUUUAAAAGACACGGACCAGACGGAAGGACCAAGCGCACAGGGAACAGCUAAACAGCCGGAAAAUGCUAAACAAACAGAACAACCAUGCCCAUCAUAUAAACAGUUCAUGGAGUACAGAAGCACCAAGUCCAAAGAACGGCAGUGUUUUAACUGUGGAAGAAAGAAAAACAUAAACAAGAAAAGAAAAACGUCCAGAUAAACAUAGGAUUGAUGGUGCCACAUGGAACUGAUUUAAAACCUUUAAGAGGGAAAACACUCCCAUUAUUUACAGACCCAGAAGUAGCAGCACCUGAUCUGCUGAAACAAGCCGUGCAGAAAAUGACGACAUUUAAUAAGGACAUGGAUGAAGGACCAUACGUCCUUUUGUAUCCUGACUGCUCAGAGGUGGUCCAUGUGCCUGGGACAGAAAGGCCAUUCAAAUUGACUGAAUAUAAAAAGGAAAUUGGGAAGGCAUAUUCCAGGAUCACUUUUUUCCUUUGCCUAGAAACACACUUUAAAGGAGUGGAUGAUACCCCAGACUCUGAUUCCUCAGAUUCUGAAAUUGUGAUCACAUCCAGGAGCAUAGCUCAAUUCAAUCGGGCUGACACUGUGGUGUUUGAACCACAAAACCAAAGUACACCCAAAUGCAAACCUUAAGAUGAAGGAGAUGCUCCUGGGAAUUCAAGCACAGUUCAACCUGGACAGAUAGUAAUAUCUGAUCAUGAGGAUCUGGAGCCACAUGAAACAAAUGCACCCAGGACUACUUGCUACAGUAAAUACACAGACCUGUAUGCACCAUGUGUUGACGAAGAGGAUGAGGAGUUGGCUGCAGAAAAUAUGAAGAGUUUACAACACACACCAAUCGAGGAGAUGAACAUUACACUACCUGACAUUAUUGCCAACCUAUCACAUCCCAUUGAUCAUGAAGAGUCAGCAGGUUCAACAUCUCAAGGGCUAAUGUUUGGGAUGGAGCAGUCAGAGGUUUCAAGCGCACAACAUACUCUGAAACCUGUGACAUGCUGGUCAAAUUUACUGAUGAUGCUGGUGUAUUAGAAGAAGGAAUUGACAGAGGUGGUCCAAGGCGAGAGUUUUUAACUCUGCUAAUGAAACAUCUGAAAGACCGGCCCAUUUUUGAUGGACCAGAAGGACAUUGGUUCUUGGUCUACAAUGCAAAUGAUUCAAAGAUGGUCUUUCAGCGCUUCAGUUUCUCACUGCACUACAGCAACACCCUGCUUUGCUGUCCCCUGUCCUGACCCACUCAGAAAAGGGGCUAACUGCUCUUGAACUUGAGAGACUCUUCAAACCUGACCUCAGUCCACCAGGGAGUAACAGGAGACUUAAAGAAAGUGAAACUUUUGGCUACUGGGCAGACUAUCUCCUUGACUGUGAAGAAGGUCAGGCUGCUGUAUCUGUGGAAGACGUUUUCAUGUUUGCAACUGGACUGACUUCACUUCCCCCAUCUGGAUUGGAACCAUCACCAAGAGUUCCUGGAUGACUCUCCAUUCCCAAUGGCAAAAACAUGUUCAAACACAUUGAAAUUACCACUCUUAGACACUUACACUGUGUUUAAGACACAAAUGGACUUUGGACUUCAAAAUUCCCCAGGA